UGGGGAAUCUUCCGCAAUGGACGAAAGUCUGACGGAGCAACGCCGCGUGAGUGAUGACGGUCUUCGGAUUGUAAAGCUCUGUUAAUCGGGACGAAUGGUUUGUGUGCAAAUAGUACAUAGACAUGACGGUACCGGAAUAGAAAGCCACGGCUAACUACGCGCCAGCAGCCGCGGUAAUACGUAGGUGGCAAGCGUUGUCCGGAAUUAUUGGGCGUAAAGCGCGCGCAGGCGGACUAGCCAGUCAGUCUUAAAAGUUCGGGGCUUAACCCCGUGAUGGGAUUGAAACUACUAGUCUAGAGUAUCGGAGAGGAAAGUGGAAUUCCUAGUGUAGCGGUGAAAUGCGUAGAUAUUAGGAAGAACACCAGUGGCGAAGGCGACUUUCUGGACGAACACUGACGCUGAGGCGCGAAAGCCAGGGGAGCGAACGGG
rnacentral:rRNA from 1 species